CGUUACUGAUAAUAACUGGAUAAAGUUAGUAUAUCGCAUGAUAUGCAAAUGAAAGCUACGGCACUAAAGGAGAGCUUUGCGUCCCUAUUAGCUAGUUGGUAAGGUAAGAGCUACCAAGCGAUGAUAGGUAGCCGGCCUGAGAGGGUGGACGGCCACAAGGGGACUGAGAUACGGCCCUUACUCCUACGGGAGGCAGCAGUGGGGAAUAUUGGACAAUGGAGGGAACUCUGAUCCAGCAAUUCUGUGUGUGUGAAGAAGGUUUUAGGACUGUAAAACACUUUUAGUAGGGAAGAAAAAAAUGACGGUACCUACAGAAGAAGUAACGGCUAAAUACGUGCCAGCAGCCGCGGUAAU
rnacentral:rRNA from 1 species